rnacentral:ncRNA from 1 species
CUGGCGUCUUUUGACGCUACUGCGGCACUUAAAACGACUGUAUCACCAUAACGUACUAAUACAGCCCCAUUUGCCUGUUUGGCUAACUGACCGAUUUCAACUUGCAACGGGCGUCCGCCCCAUGUUGUUUUGAAUACUUGUUUUUCUGACAUGUAUCGAUUCUCCUUUAUCCUUUGGAAAAGUCA